AACCUAGCACACCUGCGGUGUGUACCUGCGGAGGGAUCAUUAUUGAAUAAACUUGGUUGGGUUGAUGCUGGCUCCUAGGAGCAUGUGCACGCUCAUUCCAAUUUCAACCACCUGUGCACCUUGUGUAGAUCUGAACAACUCUCGGGGAAACUCGGUUAGAGGGAUUGCUGUGUGUAAAAACCAGCUUUCCUUGAGUUCAGAUCUAUGUCUUUAUAUACUCCAUAAGAAUGUAACGGAAUG
rnacentral:misc_RNA from 1 species